AGCUUUGCGCAGUGGCAGUAUUGUAGCCAAUAAGGUUUAUCUGAGGAACAAUUAUUGCUAAUUGAAGAAAAUAAUGGCCAUCACACCCAUAAGUUUCCUCAUGGACUUCUAUAAUCUAUCUCUUCUCCCCUAACCCUACGAAA